GAAAGGAAAGAAGAGCGAACGGUGGAUGCCUAGGCUAUCCGGAGGCGAUGAAAGACGUGGUAAGCUGCGAAAAGCCGCGGGGAUUUGCAAACAGGAGUUGAUCCGCGGAUGUCUGAAUGGGGCAACCCACUGGAUUGAAGAUCCAGUACCAUCUGUGAAGAUGGGGCGAACCCGGGGAACUGAAACAUCUUAGUACCCGGAGGAAGAGAAAGAAAAGUCGAUACCCUGAGUAGUGGCGAGCGAAAGGGGCAGAGCCUAAACCGUGUUGUUUACGGACAAUGCGGGGUUGUAGGAGUAAUCACAAAGGCAGUACAUGGAACCAGAACGCUGUGGAAACAGCGACCGUAGAGGGUGACAGUCCCGUACGGGUAACAGUGUACGGCCGCGAUUACCACCUGAGUAGGGCGGGGCACGAGGAAUCCUGUCUGAAUCUGCGGGGACCAUCCCGCAAGGCUAAACACUCCCGGAAGACCGAUAGUGGACCAGUACCGUGAGGGAAAGGUGGGAAGCACCCCGAGCAGGGGAGUGAAACAGAACCUGAAACCGUUCGUUUACAAGCGGUCGGAGCGUCGUAAGGCGCGACGGCGUGCCUUUUGCAUAAUGAGCCUACGAGUUGUAUCUUUGUGGCGAGGUUAAGCACUUCAGGUGCGUAAGCCGUAGCGAGAGCGAGUCUGAACAGGGCGCCGAUAGUCACAAGGAACAGACGCGAAACCUAGUGAUCUACCCAUGACCAGGGUGAAGUGGCGGUAACACGCCAUGGAGGCCCGAACCAGUUUCCGUUGAAAAGGGCUUGGAUGAGUUGUGGGUAGGAGUGAAAGGCCAAUCAAACUGGGAGAUAGCUCGUACUCCCCGAAAUGUCUUUAGGGACAGCCUCGGACAUGAUUACGUGAGGUAAAGCUACUGAUAGGAUGCGGGGGCUUCAUCGCCUGCCAAAUCCUGACAAACUCUGAAUGCGCGUAAGACUGAGUCCGGGAGUGAGUCGUCGGGUGCUAAUAUCCGUCGGCGAAAGGGUAAGAGCCCAGACCAACAGCCAAGGCCCCGAAACACGGUUUAAGUUGAGACAGAACGAGGUGACAUCGCAGUGACAGCUAGGAUGUUAGCUUGGAAGCAGCUAUUCAUUCAAAGAGUGCGUAACAGCUCACUAGUCGAGCGGAGUUGCGUGGAUGAUGAGCGGGCAUCAAGACCGUUGCCGAAGCUAUGGGAUGCGCAAGCAUCGGUAGGGGAGCAUUCCAGUCAGCCUUGAAGGUGCGUUGUGAGACGUGCUGGAGCGGCUGGAAAAGAAAAUGUAGGCAUAAGUAACGACAAUGCAUGUAGAAACAUGCACACCGAAAACCCAAGGUUUCCUCAGCAACGUUAAACGCCUGAGGGUAAGCCGGGGACUAAGGGUAACCCGAAGGGGGAUCCCGAUGACGAGGCGGUUAAGAUUCCGCCGCCUGCUUUACAGGAGAGCGUGAGACCGGGGAGUGACACGGCCGCGUGCUGACGGAAUAGCACGUUGAAGGGCGUAGGCGCGAGCUGAAACCCGACAGUACGGAGCGUCUUCGGACAAUCUGACAGCGCCGGUAACCAUACCUGCAAGAAAAUCGCGCGAUCGUGUAGCGUAAAGCAGCCCGUACCGUAAACCGACACAGGUGGGUGAGGAGAGAAUCCUCAGGUGCUCGAGUGAAUCAUGGCUAAGGAACUAGGCAAAUUUACCCCGUAACUUCGGGAGAAGGGGACCCUGCUUCGGCAGGGCGCAGAGAAAUGGCCCAGGCGACUGUUUACCAAAAACACAUGGCUACGCUAAAUCGUUAAGAUGAGAUAUGUGGCCUGACACCUGCCCGGUGACGGAAGGUUAAGAGGGGGGCUCAGCGCAAGCGAAGGUCUGAAUCGAAGCCCCGUUAAACGGCGGCCGUAACUAUAACGGUCCUAAGGUAGCGAAAUUCCUUGUCGGGUAAGUUCCGACCUGCACGAAUGGUGUAACGAUCUGGGCACUGUCUCAGCCAUGAGCUCGGUGAAAUUGUAGUGGCGGUGAAGAUGCCGCCUACCCGCAACGGGACGAAAAGACCCCGUGAACCUUUACUAUAGCUUAGCGCUGAUCUUGGACGUCAGAUGUGUAGGAUAGGUGGGAGACUGUGAGGCGGGUACGCUAGUACCCGUGGAGUCAUUGGUGAAAUACCACCCUUCUGGCGCCCGGGGUCUAACUUCGUAAGAAGGACACCGCUUGGUGGGUAGUUUGACUGGGGUGGUCGCCUCCAAAAGCGUAACGGAGGCUUCCCAAGGUCCGCUCAGCGCGGAUGGCAAUCGCGCGUAGAGUGCAGUGGCAUAAGCGGGCUUGACUGAGAGACUCACAAGUCGAUCAGGUACGAAAGUAGGGCAAAGUGAUCCGGUGGUUCCUCAUGGGAGGGCCAUCGCUCAUAGGAUAAAAGGUACUCCGGGGAUAACAGGCUGAUCGCUCCCAAGAGCUCAAAUCGACGGAGCGGUUUGGCACCUCGAUGUCGGCUCGUCACAUCCUGGGGCUGGAGCAGGUUCCAAGGGUUCGGCUGUUCGCCGAUUAAAGUGGCACGCGAGCUGGGUUCAGAACGUCGUGAGACAGUUCGGUCUCUAUCUGUUGUGGGCGUUGGAAAAUUGCGAAGGACUGACCUUAGUACGAGAGGACCGGGUCGGACAAGCCUCUGGUAUACCGGUUGUGGCGCCAGCUGCACCGCCGGGUAUCCACGCUUGGUCAGGAUAAGCGCUGAAAGCAUCUAAGCGCGAAGCCGUCUUCAAGAUGAGUUUUCCCUUGAGGGUCGUGGGAGACUACCACGUUGAUAGGCAGGAUGUGUAAGUUCAGAGAUGGGCUCAGCAGACCUGUACUAAUUGCCCGAGCGACUUUCUCUU
rnacentral:rRNA from 1 species